rnacentral:rRNA from 1 species
UACGGGGGGGGCAAGCGUUGUUCGGAAUUACUGGGCGUAAAGGGCUCGUAGGCGGCCAACUAAGUCGGAUGUGAAAUCCCCAGGCUUAACCUGGGAACUGCAUCCGAUACUGGAUGGCUAGAGGUUGGGAGAGGGAUGCGGAAUUCCAGGUGUAGCGGUGAAAUGCGUAGAUAUCUGGAGGAACACCGGUGGCGAAGGCGGCAUCCUGGACCAAUUCUGACGCUGAGGAGCGAAAGCCAGGGGAGCAAACGGG